rnacentral:lncRNA from 1 species
UCCUAACUGCUCUCCGCAGAAGAAAAUUCAUCUUUAAAUAGUACAAACUGCAUUCUAGGAUAGAUAUCAACCUCCUCCCCGCCCCCAUCCAACAGACACUCACAUAGGGAGAAAUCACUUCGCUAUUUCUGCUAAAGCCACUGGUUUCCUGCAGAUAGUCCUUUAUCUAUCCUAGCCACACUGUAAUUCUCUAAUAAGUGGUGAAAAUUGCAUGGUUUCUGCAGAAAAGAAAAUGAAAGAUCUUGGAAAUUUGUUAAUCACUGUAAUGAACAGAAAAACAGGAAAUUAUGUUUCUGAAGUAAUGUGCCAACGUUGGGGUUUUGCUACAGAAGAAAAAGUAGGGUUUGUAGAUAAAUAUGUCAAACGUAUGUGCAUGUAUACUGAUGUCAUGCAUUUGGUGUGUGGCCUGUUUCACACAUAAACACUUUGUGCAUAUGUAUGUGUAUAUGUACAUAUAUGUGAACGUUUAAUUGCUUUCAUAGCUAAGUUGGGUGACCCACUGCUGUAAAAAUCCUUUUAUUUUUUUUAAUAUUCUCUGAGAGAAGAAUAUGACAGUGAGUGGUCCAAUAGCAGGGUCUCAAGUCAAAACUAGGGAUCCAUUAGAGCAUAUUUCUAAUGAUAGCUUGUCUGUCAAAAAAGGCAGACAGAACAAUAUCAAAGGCAUAUAUGACCUCAGAAGGGGAACUCAUUGUGUGAAAAGAAUGACAGACAAGAGUGACACAGAGGCAUGUCUGAGAUGGGAAAAGGAGCAGAGGACACCCCUCCAGGACAUUGGAUGCAGUUAAUGAGAGUGGAGUAGAUGAUUUGAAGGAAGAAUGACUUGAGAUUUCAAGAGAACAGACCAUUUUCAUGCUGCC